rnacentral:rRNA from 1 species
GUAAGGAAUAUUGGACAAUGGACGCAAGUCUGAUCCAGCCAUGCCGCGUGAAGGAUUAAGGUCCUCUGGAUUGUAAACUUCUUUUAUAAGGGACGAAAAAAGGCUUUUCUAAGUCGUCUGACGGUACCUUAUGAAUAAGCACCGGCUAACUCCGUGCCAGCAGCCGCGGUAAUACGGAGGGUGCAAGCGUUAUCCGGAUUCACUGGGUUUAAAGGGUGCGUAGGCGGGCAGGUAAGUCAGUGGUGAAAUCCUCGAGCUUAACUCUAGAACUGCCAUUGAUACUAUCUGUCUUGAAUAUUGUGGAGGUAAGCGGAAUAUGUCAUGUAGCGGUGAAAUGCUUAGAUAUGACAUAGAACACCUAUUGCGAAGGCAGCUUACUACGCAUAUAUUGACGCUGAGGCACGAAAGCGUGGGGAUCAAACAGGAUUAGAAACCCCGGUAGUCC